rnacentral:rRNA from 1 species
UACGUAGGGCGCAAGCGUUGCCCGGAAUUAUUGGGCGUAAAGAGCUCGUAGGCGGCUUGUCACGUCGGGUGUGAAAGCCCGGGGCUUAACCCCGGGUCUGCAUUCGAUACGGGCUGGCUAGAGUGUGGUAGGGGAGAUCGGAAUUCCUGGUGUAGCGGUGAAAUGCGCAGAUAUCAGGAGGAACACCGGUGGCGAAGGCGGAUCUCUGGGCCAUUACUGACGCUGAGGAGCGAAAGCGUGGGGAGCGAACAGG